GCCCGCGUAGCUCAAUCGGUAGAGCGUGAGACUCUUAAUCUUCGUGAAAAUUCCACUCAGAAGUUAUCUCAAGGCUGCGGGUUCGACCCCCGCCGUGGGCU
rnacentral:tRNA from 1 species